ACGCUGGCGGCAGGCCUAACACAUGCAAGUCGAGCGGCAGCGGAAAGUAGCUUGCUACUUUGCCGGCGAGCGGCGGACGGGUGAGUAAUGUCUGGGAAACUGCCUGAUGGAGGGGGAUAACUACUGGAAACGGUAGCUAAUACCGCAUGACCUCGAAAGAGCAAAGUGGGGGAUCUUCGGACCUCACGCCAUCGGAUGUGCCCAGAUGGGAUUAGCUAGUAGGUGAGGUAAUGGCUCACCUAGGCGACGAUCCCUAGCUGGUCUGAGAGGAUGACCAGCCACACUGGAACUGAGACACGGUCCAGACUCCUACGGGAGGCAGCAGUGGGGAAUAUUGCACAAUGGGCGCAAGCCUGAUGCAGCCAUGCCGCGUGUGUGAAGAAGGCCUUAGGGUUGUAAAGCACUUUCAGCGAGGAGGAAGGCAUCAUACUUAAUACGUGUGGUGAUUGACGUUACUCGCAGAAGAAGCACCGGCUAACUCCGUGCCAGCAGCCGCGGUAAUACGGAGGGUGCAAGCGUUAAUCGGAAUUACUGGGCGUAAAGCGCACGCAGGCGGUUUGUUAAGUCAGAUGUGAAAUCCCCGCGCUUAACGUGGGAACUGCAUUUGAAACUGGCAAGCUAGAGUCUUGUAGAGGGGGGUAGAAUUCCAGGUGUUAGCGGUGAAAUGCGUAGAGAUCUGGAGGAAUACC
rnacentral:rRNA from 1 species